GCGGCUGCCACUCAAGCGGGGGGCCGGGCUCCGGGAGCGCAGCGAACCCACGCGGGGGCGCCGGGCGCUGGCCACGGCUGCGUUACAGGGACCCCGGGGGGCGUAGGGAGAACAAGCCCCCAAACCGCCCCAGCCCCAAUGCCGCCCUUCCCCCUCCACCCCAGCCCUAAUCCCCCCCAUCCGCCCCAAUCUACCUUCCACUCCCACCCGAGACCUAAUCCCCCCCAUCCGCCCCAAUCUACCUUCCACCCCCUCCCCAACCCCUCCCCACUCACUAACCCCCCCACACACUGGCUGUAGUCCCCCUCCCCAGGCCCUAAUCUCAUCUACUACCCCUCACCCGAAUACCAACUUCCAACCCCCCAACUACCCAGUUCCCCUCUUCAUACCCUACUCUCGCCCGCAACCCCACUGCCCCAUCCCACAGCCCCUAAUCUCCACCCCAGACAAUAAUCCCACACCACAGAAACCAUACUAUGCCAAAUCCCCCAGCCCCUCAUGCCACUCUCCAGCCCCCUGCCACCCCAAAUCCCUUUCCAACCUUCGUCCCACCCUUAAAACCCCCACUGCUUCUAAUCUCCUUCCCCCAACCUAAUCGCACUACUCCAUCCCCCUCAUCCAUCCUAAUCCAGCCUUCCUAUCCCCCAACACCCACCAUCCAAUCCAGACCCCAUAUCCCACCUACUAAACCCCCACCGCCCAUUAUUCCCUUCUAUACAGGGCCGGCUCCAGGCACCCAAGCACAUGCUUAGGGCGGCACCUGGCCUGCAAAUAAACAAUCGACUGUAAGCCGCGUGGAUCGGAGAGUUUCGUUGAACGUUGAGGCUUUGAGGAGGCAAUCGUCAAGGUGUCUGGAGACCUAAGGACUGGAGGGUUGCCCUUGAGUCCUUCAUUGAGUGAAGCACGUCGCUCGUGGCAGAAGCAAAAAGCUUUUCACCAUCAAAGGGAAGAUCUUCAAUGGUGCUCUGAACCUCUCGAGGAAAGAAAGAGGAGGAGAGCCAUGAACCUCGGCGCAUGACCACUGCUGUGGCGGUCGAUCUGGCUGCAGUGUUGGCUACAUCAAGGGCCGCUUGAAGAGCGGUAUGUGAUACGAUUUGCCCCUCGGAAACCAGAGCUGUGAAUUAUUGUUGUUUUUUCUGUUCUGGGAUGUUGUCAAUAAAGUCCAUGAACUUA